rnacentral:rRNA from 1 species
GUGUCAGCAGCCGCGGUAAUACGUAGGGCGCAAGCGUUGUCCGGAAUUAUUGGGCGUAAAGAGCUCGUAGGCGGUUUGUCGCGUCUGUCGUGAAAGCCCACAGCUUAACUGUGGGUCUGCGGUGGAUACGGGCAGACUAGAGGCAGGUAGGGGAGAACGGAAUUCCCGGUGUAGCGGUGAAAUGCGCAGAUAUCGGGAGGAACACCGGUGGCGAAGGCGGUUCUCUGGGCCUGUACUGACGCUGAGGAGCGAAAGCGUGGGGAGCGAACAGGAUUAGAUACCCUGGUAGUCC